GGGCGGUUAGCUCAGUGGGAGAGCACUUCCCUGACACGGAAGGGGUCAUUGGUUCAAUCCCAAUACCGCCCACCA
rnacentral:tRNA from 1 species